UAGCUGGGAUGAUUCGAUGGUGUGAUUUCUUUUACGUAUGGAAAGACGAGACUUAUAGGAUUAGCAAGAUACUGUGAACUCGAUUUGAUAAAAGAAAGGUAACAUCUUAUUAUACAUCGCAUUCAAAAUAUUGUUGCCACCCGAAGAAGCUUUAUAUGAUAGCUUGAUAUUAACUACUUGGAAAUGGCGAAAAGUCGAGAGACAGUGGAUUUGAAGGGAAAACUUUCUCGGAAAAUAGCAGAGCUAACCAUGGUUGUGCAUUUGCUUUUUACGAGAAACCACGAAAGGGAAGUCGAAAUUGACGCAAUAAGAACUGUUUACGAUCAACAAAUUAAAAACAUUGAGAGCGAGGUCAAGGGUAAAAUAUCUUGGUUGGAAGGACAAUUAGAAGAUUUAGAGAAAGGUAAAGUAUUGCUGGAAAUUAAAAAUAAUGAAAUUGAGAAAUACAAACAACAAAUAACUGGACUGAAUGAGAAGGAAGUCGAAUUGAGAAAAACAAUUGAACAAAAAGAGCAUCUACUUCAGAUGGCUGAAAAAGAGAUUGUGAAACUAAGGGAACAGCUCACAAGCAAAGCUGACUAUGGGAAUAUCCAUGCUGAAGAAUUGCAGAGAAUUAGAAAUGAACUUGAGAAAUGUAAAAACGAAAUUUCAGACUUGAAUAGUAAACUCAAUACAAAAUCUCAAAAACUCAAGACUUACAAAAAGCAUAUAGGUGAACUACAAGAGCGUGAAAAAGACCUUGACAGACAGCUCCAAGAGGCUCUAGCGGCUAAAAAUAGAAUAAAUAUGCAAUUGGACGGUUUAGAGGGUGACUGGCAAGGUGAAAUGGACCGGCUUAAUGAUAGUAUUAUUCAAAUGACAGAGGCCCAGACUCAAAAUGAGGAUAAAAUCAACAAACUCGAAAUGAAAAACAAACAACUCUCACAGCAGAAUAAAGAACUUGAGGAUACUAAACGACAGUUGUCGCACCAGAUACAACAACUUAUAAAUGAGAAAAAUAAAAGGAAGGAAUCAAAAUUUGUCAAACCAAAGCAGCAAACUCCAGAGGUGCCAAGAUCAACUCCGGCAUAUGAGGGACGGGAUGUACUGUCCGUCUGCUUGACUUUGCUGACGCGACAAAUCCAAUUCAGCUUGAGCGUGAUGAUGAGCUCGAAAGAUUGCGCAGGGAGGUGCAGCGGUACAGGCUAGAAAUCAAGAAUCGGGAGUCGAACUUCAACCGAGUGUUUGCCGAGAAGAACCCGGUGGUUGUCGGCCAUAAACAGAGCUCUACCGCGAGUUUGUCACCUGAUGGGAUGUUCCCAAAUCUGACCGGAUCCCGCAGUAGAUCAUCAGCCAAUGGGCAAAUCUCCCCGUCAUAUCUACCAUCAUUGAAAUAAUUCAGAAAAAAAACAUUUACUUCUGAGGAUAGUGUCAAGUAUCGGUCGCUUUGUCAGAUUUUCUGGCAUCUACAUCGUAGACCCUACCCUUGAAAUAUUCGAGUUGAACUCUGUAACAGACCUCCCCCCCCCACCCUUGAGAAGUAAAGCCCCCUAGUAAAAAAAUCCUGGGUACAUCACUAUCACUCGUACAGUGACAGCUUGCUUGUAUCCAUCUAUUUUGGUUUCUCACUUCAACUCCAAAGGCCAAACAACAAGAAAAACAUAUUCAGUUACAUGUUUAUCUUAUCUUAUUGCAUACUUGAGUUUAUUCUUUACGUGUAUUUAUCGCAUCUGUCGGCCUUUCUCUAUCAGAUGGAUCAAGCCCCUUUCCAGUACAUAUCAAACCAUACAGUGAAACUGUAAUAAAGUAUAUAUUCUAUA